rnacentral:rRNA from 1 species
CCUACGGGAGGCAGCAGUGGGGAAUAUUGGGCAAUGGGCGCAAGCCUGACCCAGCGACGCCGCGUGAGGGAUGAAGGUCUUCGGAUUGUAAACCUCUUUCAGUGGGGAAGAAGCGAAAGUGACGGUACCCAAAGAAGAAGCACCGGCUAACUAUGUGCCAGCAGCCGCGGUAAUACAUAGGGUGCAAGCGUUGUCCGGAAUUAUUGGGCGUAAAGAGCUCGUAGGUCGUUCAUCACGUCGGAUGUGAAAAUCUGAGGCUCAACCUCAGACCUGCAUUCGAUACGAGUGAACUAGAGUUUGGUAGGGGAGACUGGAAUUCCUGGUGUAGCGGUGGAAUGCGCAGAUAUCAGGAGGAACAUCAAUGGCGAAGGCAGGUCUCUGGGCCAAUACUGACACUGAGGAGCGAAAGCGUGGGGAGCGAACAGGAUUAGAUACCCUGGUAGUCCCACGACCGUAACGGUAGGGCGACUAGUUGUGGGUACCGUCCGUACGGUUCCGUCGACGCAGCUACGACAUAAGUCGCCCGCCGUCGGGAGGUACGAGCGCGAAGUAAGUUAAACGUACUUAAUUAGUAAGUUAGUUACGGCGUUGAGACGUGCCGACGGACGACGACGAGGGAGGAGG